ACCGGCAUUGUUCGCGGUCGUCCAAUCGAUUUCAUCGAUAAAUAUUAUUGUUGGUGCAUAAAAUCUUGCGAGAUCGAUCGACAUUGUCGCAAAUUUGAAUAUCACGGGACAAUUGGGCUUCUUUCAAAAGAACAUCAACGGAAUUGGUGUAUCUGAAAGAUAAAAAUUGUUGUUUUAUUUAUUAUAUAUGUUUAUGCAGUACAUAGAAUUUAAAUAAAGACGUUCACCCUUGCUCUCCUAAAAAUGCGGCUACGAGGUAUAGAAGAUUUCUACGUCGCUCUUGGGAAUAUAAAUAGAAUCUUGAAUGAGUAAACGUCAGGUCAUCGAUCUAAUUCGAAUCGAGUUAAAUGGAAACACGUGGCAUGUCCAUUCAUUGGUCGAGAUUCAUUGUACAGUUGUUAACCGAUUUAAAAGCGAUUGUGCGCCUAAUACACGUCGUAAUUCAGGAAAUCUAUUCUAAUAAUUAAUAAUAAUAGUUAAUAUUAUGUAACAAAUGUAUUUUGUUAUAUUUAAAUUAAUAUUACUUAUUUGUCAACCUAUAUUAGAAUAUUGUAAUAUAUUUAUAUGUAAUGUAUAACAAUAAUCUAAUGUUUUACAGUAUAAUGCAUGCUAUGCUAUAAGUAUAGUAUAGUAUAAAGCUGGCUAACUGUUCCCCUUAGCGACCUCAUUUACUCCAGCAAAUAUUUUCGUGACCCUGAGCAUAAACUCUAUACUAUUUUUUCUUUCACCAUCUCAUAAAAACCAAAAAUACUGUGUACGUAUAGUAUUGAAUUAAUUUUCUGUCUUUGCGCAUCUAGGAAUUUUGUAGUUUUGUUCAAAUUUGUGCAAUCUUCAAAUUUAGUUAAGUGACCCCCACGGGGUCUCUCAUAUGGGGUCGCGAACUACACUUUGAAAAGUACUGGUAUAGAAUAUUAGAUAUAAAUAACCAAAUACUACAUAAAUAAAUUAAUUCAUAAUUAAUUUCAACAAGUAUGAAUGGAUAUAAAUGCUGAUCAAAAACAAAUGAAAAUAAUAAUUUCUAAAUGUAGCCUAAGAU